GAUGAACGCUAGCGGCAGGCUUAAUACAUGCAAGUCGAACGGGAAUUGGGUAGCAAUACCUGAUGAUAGUGGCGCACGGGUGCGUAACGCGUAUGCAACCUACCUUUAACAGGGGGAUAGCCCGGAGAAAUUCGGAUUAAUACCCCAUAGUAUUAUGGAGAGGCAUCUUUUCAUGAUUAAAGUUCCGGCGGUUAAAGAUGGGCAUGCGUGCCAUUAGCUAGUUGGUGAGGUAACGGCUCACCAAGGCGACGAUGGUUAGGGGUCCUGGAGAGGGUUAUCCCCCACACUGGUACUGAGACACGGACCAGACUCCUACGGGAGGCAGCAGUAAGGAAUAUUGGUCAAUGGGCGGAAGCCUGAACCAGCCAUGCCGCGUGCAGGAAGACGGCCUUAUGGGUUGUAAACUGCUUUUGUCAGGGAAUAAACCCUCGUUUGCGAACGAGGCUGAAGGUACCUGAAGAAUAAGCAUCGGCUAACUCGUGCCAGCAGCCGCGGUAAAACGUGCGU
rnacentral:rRNA from 1 species